UCAUUCAUUCCCCAGCUUAGGGGACAAGUUUGAUAAUUCAUUGGCUUUUUAUUCUCCCUUACCCGUAGCUUCCCACAUAAGCUAAUUGGAUUCUCUUCCUUCUCCUACACGUUGGCUUCCUCAACAAGCCUUGGACUCUUCUUCCUUCUCUUACACGCCGGUUCCAAGGGACGAGAAAAACAAAAAACAAAUUCCUCUUCUUCUCUUACACCCAUCGACAGCCUCCAGAGCAAAUGAUUUCUCUUCUCCAUUCACUGUCGGUUCUAGGGCACACAAGGAGAACUUCUCAAGUCUUCCAUCACACGAAGAUCCCUUCGGGUUCCCCUCUCCCAGCCGUGCGAUACCUCUCGGUUCCUCGAGUCGAUUCUUCCAUUUCGUAAGCCUAAGAUUUUCCACCGAAAAUCUUCAAAGGAUCAACCUCCUUUGAGAUUUCAAACUUCUCUUCAUUUCUUGUUGCUGUGUACUUCCGUGGCUGCAAAAGAGACCCAAACAGGAAUUUAUUUUCAAGAUUCAAGGAACUUACUUGUAAAGCCACGAGGUAUGAAUGAUGGGACUGUGGAGCUGGGCACUGCUGAGGAGGGAAGGGCUGAUGCUUAGUAUUCCCUGUCGGUUCGGUUUAAUGAUGAUGGUUAUAUUUUAUGUUUUAUGAUGGGUCCCAUGUUGGGACGUUUUGUUGGUUGACUUAAGACAAUAUGUCUUUGGCAUGAUGUAGAUAUUGUGGUAGUAUGAUGGUAAUAGUGUAACUUCUAUAGUGGGUUGAUGGUAACCCCACAUAAGAAGGUUAAACGUAUUUUGGAUAUGUUGUAGGGACGGAGUCCCCCUUUUAUUGGAACUGGUGAUGUUUUAAAUGAAUGAAUGGUGGACUCUGAGAGUCCUUUGGUAAUA